AUGUAAGAAUUUAAAGGUCGAACAGACCUAUUUUUUAAGCGGCUACACCUAAUUAUAAUCUUAAUCCAACAUCGAGGUCGCAAGCCUCCCUGUGAAUAUGAACUCUAAAGGAAGAUUACGCUGUUAUCCCUAAGGUAACUUAUUCUAAUAAUCAGUAAAACUGGAUCUAUUUUUCAUAUAUCAAUGUUAUAUAAAUAAAAAAGUUAAUUAUAUAUUUUUGUCACCCCAACAAAAUAUUUUAUUAAAUAAUAAAUAAUAAUUUAUCAAGAAUUUAUUAAAUAAUCAAAUAUAAAGCUCUAUAGGGUCUUCUCGUCUUCCAAUAAUAUUUCAGCUUUUUGACUGAAAAAGUAAAUUUUAAUAUCAAAUUAAAUGAGACAGUAAGUACUUCGUUAAACCCUUCAUUCCAGCCCUCUAUUAAAAGACUAAUGAUUAUGCUACCUUUGCACGGCCAAUAUACCGCGGCCGUUAAAAUAUUUCACUGGGCAGGUCAGACUUCUUAUUCUUCCAAGAAGACAUGUUUUUGUUAAACAGGCGAGCACUUAUUUUGCCGAGUUCCUUAUUUAAUCAUCUCUUAUAAUAAAUUUUAAACAAACAAUUAUACUAAUUUAAUCAUUAUUACUAAAAAUUUAUAAUUAAAUUUUAAAUUUUAAUAAUUUCCUAAAUAAAAGUAAAUCAAUUAAUUUUAAUUUAAACUAUAACGUACUUUCUAAUGAUAGAUGUUUUCAACCCUACAUUAAUUAAAAUAUAAAUAACAUUUUAGAAAUUAAUUUAGAGCUUAUCCCCUAAAUUAUAACAUUUAUCCAAAAAUUUAUUCAAAAAUUAAUAAAUUAAAGUAUAAAAUUAAAUUAAAUUUAUUUCUUAAAAAACU
rnacentral:rRNA from 1 species